rnacentral:lncRNA from 1 species
CAUCGAUGUUGAUAUUUGGCUUAAUACGGCGAUUAGCGACGGAGAGGCUUGUGAAGACGCUUUGAGUGAACGUGCUGGUAAUGACGCUGAGCUUGCUCGUAGGAACACUAACUUCUUGAAGCUUUGCAAUUUCGCUCUUACGCUUUGAGCGAACGUGCUGGUAAUGACGCUGAGCUUGCUCGUAGGAACACUAAUUUCUUGAAGCUUUGCAAAGAUGCUCUUCUCAUCAACACUAUUUUAACUCCAUAAGUUUAUUGUUACGACUAAUUAAUUACUUUGUAUUUGUU